UUGCUCCCGGAUGUUAGCGGCGGACGGGUGAGUAACACGUGGGUAACCUGCCUGUAAGACUGGGAUAACUCCGGGAAACCGGAGCUAAUACCGGAUAGUUCCUUGAACCGCAUGGUUCAAGGAUGAAAGACGGUUUCGGCUGUCACUUACAGAUGGACCCGCGGCGCAUUAGCUAGUUGGUGAGGUAACGGCUCACCAAGGCAACGAUGCGUAACCGACCUGAGAGGGUGAUCGGCCACACUGGGACUGACACACGGCCCACACUCCUACGGGAGGCAGCAGUAGGGAAUCUUCCGCAAUGGACGAAAGUCUGACGGACCAACGCCGCGUGAGUGAUGAAGGUUUUCGGAUCGUAAAGCUCUGUUGUUAGGAAAGAACAAGUGCAAAAGUAACUGCUUGCACCUUGACGGUACCUAACCAGAAAGCCACGGCUAACUACGUGCCACCAGCCGCGGUAAUACGUAGGUGGCAAGCGUUGUCCGGAAUUAUUGGGCGUAAAGGGCUCGCAGGCGGUUUCUUAAGUCUGAUGUGAAAGCCCCCGGCUCAACCGGGGAGGGUCAUUGGAAACUGGGAAACUUGAGUGCAAAAAAAGAGAGUGUAAUUCCACGUGUAGCGGUGAAAUGCAUAUAGAUGUGGAGGAACACCAGUGGCGAAAGCCACUCUCUGGUCUGUAACUGACA
rnacentral:rRNA from 1 species